rnacentral:lncRNA from 1 species
CGGGCGGCUUGGGGCCAGGGUGUCGGGAGGCUGUCACCUGAGGCAGCCUGACGACGGUUGGUUGCCACGGGUCACGUGCCAGCGACCGGGAAUCCUCUGGAAUGCUACAAGCGGCCCACGUGUGUUGUACAGGCCUGGACCAGGCUGUCAGUCCGUCUGUCUGGACUCUCAGCUCAGGACCACAUCCCUGAGGAUCAAGAAGAAAGUCGCCGAGGUCUGCCAUGGAAGAAGGAAGAAAGAACUCAGCCACUUCAUCCAGAACUAUAGCAAGGCAGUAUCAUCAGUGAUGCCUAGAAGUGGAUUCACAGUGGCGCUUCAAUCACCCAGACACCCUCAAAGAACCGUUAAGGUUUUCUUUGAGAAUAUGCUUUGGCAACCCUCACACUCCUGAACAGUUCAUUGUUUGAAAAUGCUUGACAAGGAGCAGACUGCAAUUAAUUACUUCAAUCCUCCACUUUUGUGUGGGGGAAAUCAAGCUGGU